GAUGAACGCUAGCUACAGGCUUAACACAUGCAAGUCGAGGGGAAACGAUAGAGAAAGCUUGCUUUUUCUAGGCGUCGACCGGCGCACGGGUGAGUAACGCGUAUCCAACCUGCCCAUCACUUGGGGAUAACCUUGCGAAAGUAAGACUAAUACCCAAUGAUAUCUCAAGAAGACAUCUGAAUGAGAUUAAAGAUUUAUCGGAUAUGGAUGGGGAUGCGUCUUAUUAGCUUGUUGGCGGGGUAACGGCCCACCAAGGCGACGAUCAGUAGGGGUUCUGAGAGGAAGGUCCCCCACAUUGGAACUGAGACACGGUCCAAACUCCUACGGGAGGCAGCAGUGAGGAAUAUUGGUCAAUGGGCGAGAGCCUGAACCAGCCAAGUAGCGUGCAGGAUGACGGCCCUAUGGGUUGUAAACUGCUUUUAUAAGGGAAUAAAGUGAGCCUCGUGAGGCUUUUUGCAUGUACCUUAUGAAUAAGGACCGGCUAAUUCCGUGCCAGCCGCCGCGGUAA
rnacentral:rRNA from 1 species